rnacentral:misc_RNA from 1 species
UAACGCUCAAAUUGUGUGCUCAUUUCGCUGCCAAACUGCUGCGCGAAGUCGGCGUACUCAUCGAUCAACUGCCGCCCGAACUCUGGUAGGCGGCGCAAUGCUGGACUGAGGGGUUUAUUCGCAAAGGUAUGAAUGAGCCCCUGUGUCAGAAGCA